ensembl:miRNA
UAUUAUUAGGUUAGUGCAAAAGUAAUUGUGGUUUUUGGCAUCACUUUCAAUGGCAAAAACCGCAAUUCCUUUUGCACCAACAUAAUAAAUUCUC